AACCUGCGGAGGGAUCAUUACUGAGUGAGGGCUCACGCCCGACCUCCAACCCUUUGUGAACCAAACUUGUUGCUUCGGGGGCGACCCUGCCGACGACUCCGUCGCCGGGCGCCCCCGGAGGUCUUCUAAACACUGCAUCUUUGCGUCGGAGUUUAAAACAAAUUAAACAAAACUUUCAACAACGGAUCUCUUGGUUCUGGCAUCGAUGAAGAACGCAGCGAAAUGCGAUAAGUAAUGUGAAUUGCAGAAUUCAGUGAAUCAUCGAAUCUUUGAACGCACAUUGCGCCCUUUGGUAUUCCGAAGGGCAUGCCUGUUCGAGCGUCAUUUCACCACUCAAGCCUGGCUUGGUAUUGGGCGUCGCGGUUAUUCGCGCGCCUUAAAGUCUUCCGGCUGAGCUGUCCGUCUCUAAGCGUUGUGGAUUUUUCAAUUCGCUUCGGAGUGCGGAUGGCCGCGGCCGUUAAAUCUUUAUUCAAAGGUUGACCUCGGAUCAGGUAGGGAUA
rnacentral:rRNA from 1 species